CAUGAUUAAUGUAAUGCAAAAUACAGCUUUCAGCACAGUUUGAAACAGUUUCCGCCUUUAGAACGCCUUCACUGCAUGACUUUUAUAGAUACUGCCACUGCCUGUUCAAACUAGUGCAGUGACCCUGUAACAACAUAUUGGUCGCAAGUUACAAGAAACUCAAUUAUCUUGUGGAGUGCUGGAAACGUCAAUGAAAUCUUGCUCAGCAGCCAUGGUUGGUGUGUUUCUUCUUGCGUAUAUCUCCGUGAAUUUAUUCCUUAAAUGUCAAGGUCAAAAGAUUAAUCAAGCUAAGAUUUUCAGUGAAAAUGCAGAAGUAUCAGAAGGUGGUAGACUGGAAGUUACUUGCAGCACAUUUGGUUUUACAGGAAAGGCAGUUUAUUUAUAUCUGUGUAAAAAUGGUAAAGCUAUUGAUA